rnacentral:ribozyme from 1 species
CUGAGCUUUACGGUCUGGGCAAAGGUGGGCAGAAAGUGACGGCCGCGAAACAAAGUUUCCAGAAAACCAUGGACCUCAUGAUUGAGCUGGCCUCGUUGCAGUGCGCCUUCGUGACCUUGGACGAGGCAAUAAAGACGACGAACAGAAGAGUGAACGCGCUGG